rnacentral:RNase_P_RNA from 1 species
ACCGCAGACCGCCUUAUCGCCGUUUUGAGCAAUCAAGAAGGAGGAAAGUCCGGACACCAAAGGGAAGCAUAGCGGGUAACCCCCGUCGGUUCAAGUAAUUGGAUUAGGACAAGUGCAACAGAAAGUAUGUACAGGUAAUGCUGUAGUGAAACCAGGUAAACUCUAUGCGGUGAAAUAUCAAGUAUAUCAGCAUUUAAGGGCUUCUCGUCCGUUGUUGAAGGGUAGAUAGCUUGAGCUUAUGAGUAAUUAUAAGUCUAGAUAAAUGAUAAGGCUCCGAUUUAUCGGAGACAGAAUCCGGCUUAUAGGUCUGCAUUUUUU